CUCAACUCCGGUUAGGCAAUUGGAUACUGGCAAGCUAGAGUACAGAAGAGNCAAGGGGAAUUCCUAGUGUAGCGGUGAAAUGCGUAGAUUAUUAGGGAGGAACACCGGUGGCGUAAGCGCCUUGCUGGUCUGUAACUGACGCUGAGGAACGAAAGCCAGGGUAGCAAAUGGGAUUAGAUACCCCAGUAGUCCUGGCCGUAAACGAUGGAUACUAGGUGUUGCAGGUAUCGACCCCUGCAGUGCUGCAGCUAACGCAAUAAGUAUCCCGCCUGGGGAGUACGCACGCAAGUGUGAAACUCAAAGGAAUUGACGGGGACCCGCACAAGCGGUGGAACAUGUGGUUUAAUUCGAAGCAACGCGAAGAACCUUACCAGGGCUUGACAUCCUGAGAACUUUCCAGAGAUGGAUUGGUGCCCUUCGGGGAACUCAGUGACAGGUGGUGCACGGUUGUCGUCAGCUCGUGUCGUGAGAUGUUGGGUUAAGUCCCGCAACGAGCGCAACCCACGUUGUUAGUUGCCUGUAAGAACCUGUUCUUGCAGUGCUCUCUAGCGAGACUGCCGGUGAUAAACCGGAGGAAGGUGUGGACGACGUCAAAUCAUCAUGCCCCUUAUGUCCUGGGCUACACACGUGUUACAAUGGGUGGGACAACGAGCAGCCAAUCAGCGAUGAUGAGCAAUCUCUUAACCUACUUCAGUUCGGAUCGUAGUCUGCAACUCGACUACGUGAAGUCGGAAUCGCUAGUAACCGUAGAUCAGCACGCUGCGGUGAAUACGUUCCCGGGUCUUGUACACACUGCCCGUCACACCAUGGAAGCUGAUCACGCCCGAAGUCGGUGUGCUAAC
rnacentral:rRNA from 1 species